AUUGAACGCUGGCGGCAUGCCUUACACAUGCAAGUCGAACGGCAGCACGGGGGCAACCCUGGUGGCGAGUGGCGAACGGGUGAGUAAAGCAUCGGAACGUACCCGGAAGUGGGGGAUAACGUAGCGAAAGUUACGCUAAUACCGCAUAUUCUGUGAGCAGGAAAGAGGGGUAUCGCAAGACCUCUUGCUUUCGGAGCGGCCGAUGUAGGAUUAGCUAGUUGGUGGGGUAAAAGCCUACCAAGGCGACGAUCCGUAGCUGGUCUUAGAGGAUGAGCAGCCACACUGGGACUGAGACACGGCCCAGACUCCUACGGGAGGCAGCAGUGGGGAAUUUUGGACAAUGGGGGCAACCCUGAUCCAGCCAUGCCGCGUGAGUGAAGAAGGCCUUCGGGUUGUAAAGCUCUUUCGGACAGAAAGAAAUCGCACGAUCUAAUACAUCGUGUGGAUGACGGUACUGUCAUAAGAAGCACCGGCUAACUACGUGCCAGCAGCCGCAGUAA
rnacentral:rRNA from 1 species